rnacentral:rRNA from 1 species
AUGGUCUGCGUUUGGAAAGAUUUUUCGGUUGGGGAUGGGCUCGCGGCCUAUCAGCUUGUUGGUGAGGUAAUGGCUCACCAAGGCGUCGACGGGUAGCCGGCCUGAGAGGGUGACCGGCCACACUGGGACUGAGACACGGCCCAGACUCCUACGGGAGGCAGCAGUGGGGAAUAUUGCACAAUGGGCGGAAGCCUGAUGCAGCAACGCCGCGUGAGGGAUGACGGCCUUCGGGUUGUAAACCUCUUUUAGCAGGGAAGAAGCGAAAGUGACGGUACCUGCAGAAAAAGCGCCGGCUAACUACGUGCCAGCAGCCGCGGUAAUACGUAGGGCGCAAGCGUUAUCCGGAAUUAUUGGGCGUAAAGAGCUCGUAGGCGGUUUGUCGCGUCUGCUGUGAAAUCCCGAGGCUCAACCUCGGGCCUGCAGUGGGUACGGGCAGACUAGAGUGCGGUAGGGGAGAUUGGAAUUCCUGGUGUAGCGGUGGAAUGCGCAGAUAUCAGGAGGAACACCGAUGGCGAAGGCAGAUCUCUGGGCCGUAACUGACGCUGAGGAGCGAAAGGGUGGGGAGCAAACAGGCUUAGAUACCCUGGUAGUCCACCCCGUAAACGUUGGGAACUAGUUGUGGGGUCCAUUCCACGGAUUCCGUGACGCAGCUAACGCAUUAAGUUCCCCGCCUGGGGAGUACGGCCGCAAGGCUAAAACUCAAAGGAAUUGACGGGGACCCGCACAAGCGGCGGAGCAUGCGGAUUAAUUCGAUGCAACGCGAAGAACCUUACCAAGGCUUGACAUAUACGAGAACGGGCCAGAAAUGGUCAACUCUUUGGACACUCGUAAACAGGUGGUGCAUGGUUGUCGUCAGCUCGUGUCGUGAGAUGUUGGGUUAAGUCCCGCAACGAGCGCAACCCUCGUUCUAUGUUGCCAGCACGUAAUGGUGGGAACUCAUGGGAUACUGCCGGGGUCAACUCGGAGGAAGGUGGGGAUGACGUCAAAUCAUCAUGCCCCUUAUGUCUUGGGCUUCACGCAUGCUACAAUGGCCGGUACAAAGGGCUGCAAUACCGUGAGGUGGAGCGAAUCCCAAAAAGCCGGUCCCAGUUCGGAUUGAGGUCUGCAA